UACGUAGGGGGCUAGCGUUGUCCGGAAUCAUUGGGCGUAAAGCGCGUGUAGGCGGUCCGGUAAGUCCGCUGUGAAAGUCGGGGGCUCAACCCUCGAAUGCCGGUGGAUACUGUCGGGCUAGAGUGCGGAAGAGGCGAGUGGAAUUCCUGGUGUAGCGGUGAAAUGCGCAGAUAUCAGGAAGAACACCAAUGGCGAAAGCAGCUUUCUGGGACGGUACUGACGCUGAGACGCGAAAGCGUGGGGAGCGAACAGG
rnacentral:rRNA from 1 species